GCAAGAUUAAAACUCAAAGGAAUAGACGGGGACCCACACAAGCAGUGGAUCACGUGGUUUAAUUCGAUAAUAAACGAGGAACCUUACCCAGACUUGACAUCCUAGGAAUCUUUGAGAGACGACAGAGUGCUUUUAUUAGAGCCUAGUGACAGGUGCUGCAUGGUUGUCGUCAGCUCGUGCCUUGAGGUGUUCGGUUAAGUCCGUUAACGAGCGCAACCCAUGUCUCUAGUUAUUAUGUCUAGAGAGACUGCCUUGGUUAACAAGGAGGAAGGUGUGGAUGACGUCAAAUCAGCAUGGCUUUUACGUCUGGGGCCACACACAUGAUACAAUGGUACGUACAAAGAGCAGCAAUACAGCGAUGUUGAGCAAAUCUUAAAAGCGUAUCUUAGUCCGGAUUGGAGUCUGAAACUCGACUCCAUGAAGUUGGAAUUGCUAGUAAUCGUGAAUCAGAUAUGCCACGGUGAAUAUGUUCCUGGGUCUUGUACUCACCGCCC
rnacentral:rRNA from 1 species